rnacentral:lncRNA from 1 species
UUGGCUGUGCCAUAUCUGGCUUCGAGUUGUGCCCAUAUACUCUGUGCAGUCUCAGAAUAUUGCACACUAUCAGCUAUUUGAGGAGACAGAGAAGGAGUCAACCAGGAAAUUACCAUAUUAUUGCAUCUGUCCCAUAAUUUCUGUUAAGCCAAGUUAGUAUUUGGUCUAGGACAGGUACCAUCAGCAAAAUCAAUUUUGUUCUUAGCGGACAGGGCAACUAUCAUCUUCCUCUUCCAACCCCCAUAACCACUACCCGAGAAGGGAAUAGAAAUAAGGGAAACACCAGGAACAUUAUAAGAGUAAACAAAGAGAGGACUUGUAGGGUCAAUAGGUGGGGGAUUAAUAGGGUUCAUAUUUGCCAUCAGAAACAGAACAACAAUGAUGAGAGGAAAUUGAUUCAAUAUCUAUGAACUACAUGAUACAACAAAUAUUCCAGCAACAAAAACACAUGCAAGCUCUAAUCGAGAGUGAAAAUAGGGUUACCCGACUUCUACACUACCGGAGAAGAAACGGCCUUCAAAGGUUCAGAGAAAACCCUAGCUUCGUUCAUAGAAAACCCUAGCUUUCAGAGAAACCGGCAGAAUCAAGCAUGAGAGGUGUCGGAAGUUCACCCUAAACACUACGCUUGAAGAAUCAACAACAAACCAUCUCCGAUUUCACCAUCAGAUCGAAAAAAAUCCAGAAUCAUCACCAACAAAUCGAAAAAUCCAGAAAUUACCACCGAUAAUACAAUAAACCCGAAUCGGAAGAACCGAGAAGAUAAAGGAUACAUCCGAGAAGGAGAACCACGCUCUGAUACCAUGUCAACAUGGUGAAUCGGAGAUGAGAGAGAGAGAGAGAGAGAGAAAGAGAGAAAAAUCUUCUCUGAUUUUGAUUAAUG